UACGUAGGGUGCGAGCGUUGUCCGGAAUUAUUGGGCGUAAAGAGCUCGUAGGCGGUCUGUCGCGUCGAUCGUGAAAACUUGGGGCUUAACCCUGAGCUUGCGGUCGAUACGGGCAUGACUGGAGUUCGGCAGGGGAGACUGGAAUUCCUGGUGUAGCGGUGAAAUGCGUAGAUAUCAGGAGGAAUACCGGUGGCGAAAGCGACUCUCUGGACGGCAACUGACGCUGAGGCACGAAAGCGUGGGGAGCAAACAGG
rnacentral:rRNA from 1 species